UACGUAGGGGGCUAGCGUUGUCCGGAAUCAUUGGGCGUAAAGCGCGUGUAGGCGGCCCGGUAAGUCCGCUGUGAAAGUCGGGGGCUCAACCCUCGGAUGCCGGUGGAUACUGUCGGGCUUGAGUACGGAAGAGGCGAGUGGAAUUCCUGGUGUAGCGGUGAAAUGCGCAGAUAUCAGGAGGAACACCGAUUGCGAAGGCAGCUCGCUGGGACGUAACUGACGCUGAGGAGCGAAAGCGUGGGGAGCGAACAGG
rnacentral:rRNA from 1 species